rnacentral:lncRNA from 1 species
UGGGUACAGGGGAAUGAAGAUGUUGAUGCAGUGUUUGAAGUGUUUAAAUGGAAGAGAGGUUUAUGGGUAAGGCCUCACAGCUUAGAAAGCCUUCCUACGGUGGAAGGAAGCUUAAGGAAGAGAGAAGAAGUAGCAAAUCAAAGGUGAUUUAAGAGCAAAGAAGGUGGAAAUUAAUUUCUGUAACAUAACAUUCAAGCUCAAAAGUGGUUUUUACAAGGUAUUGGCCCUCUUAUUUAUAGGUGAGGAAGAGCCCUUAAUCUGACCCAUUUUCCCUCCAAAACCCAAUACAUUUUGUGUAGAAGCAACUCUCACAUGGAAGGAGCAAAUCCCAC